rnacentral:piRNA from 1 species
AGCUGGCACUGAGGAAGCUGAAGCAG